CCUACGGGAGGCAGUAGUGGGGAAUAUUGGGCAAUGGGCGCAAGCCUGACCCAGCAACGCCGCGUGAAGGAAGAAGGCUUUCGGGUUGUAAACCUCUUUUCUUAGGGACGAAGAAAGUGACGGUACUUGAGGAAUAAGCCACGGCUAACUACGUGCCAGCAGCCGCGGUAAUACGUAGGUGGCAAGCGUUAUACGGAUUCAUUGGGUGUAAAGGGCGUGUAGGCGGGAGCGCAAGUCAGAUGUGAAAACUCAGGGCUCAACCCUGAGCGUGCAUUUGAAACUGUGUUUCUUGAGUGCUGGAGAGGCAGUCGGAAUUCGGGGUGUAGCGGUGAAAUGCGUAGAUAUACGGAAGAACACCGAUGGCGAAGGCGGAUUGCUGGACAGUAACUGACGCUGAGGCGCGAAAGCGUGGGGAGCAAACAGGAUUAGAUACCCUUGUAGUC
rnacentral:rRNA from 1 species